GGAAGUAAAAGUCGCAACAAGGUUUCCGUAGGUGAACCUGCGGAAGGAUCAUUAUCGAAAUACUUAUUUAGCGUUCCGUGCUAUCCCAUUGUUUUAUUUACCCUGUUGCUUCCACUGGAUGAGUUUCCAUACCUUGUGUUUGAGAAACUUUGGCUUGUGUAAGAUUCAUUCACGGCCAGCCAGUGAGAAGACCAUUUACAAAACCCUGUUAAGAACCAAUUGUCUGAAUAUUUUACUCCAAUGAAAUAAAACUUUCAACAACGGAUCUCUAGGCUCUU
rnacentral:misc_RNA from 1 species